GCGCCCGUAGCCCAACCGGCAGAGGCGGCCGGCUUAAACCCGGCUCAGUGCGGGUUCGAGUCCCGCCGGGCGCACGA
rnacentral:tRNA from 1 species